AUCGAUGAUCGGCAUCAUUAAACAUGAUCUAUACCACUUGAAGUAUUUAGAAAUCAAAUUUCAAAUCUUUUCGAUAUCAUUAACUUAAUGAUCAAAGAGUUUCAAAAUUUAUAAUUUUAAUGGUAGAUAUGAAGCGUUUUCUCGUUUAACGGUGUAAAACUAUCCAAAUCAAUUGAAUUUUGGUUAGAAAAUUCUUUAAACUAUUUAGAAUAAGAUCUAUACUCUUGAUCUUGAUUAUAAAAUUUCUAUUGUCACUUUUUAGAAGAUAUUCAUUUUCAAUCGUUCAUUUUUACGCCCACUUGAUGGACGAGAGAACAAUAUCAGAAAAGCAUGAAAUUUGAUUUCUAAAUACUUCAAGUAGUAU
rnacentral:lncRNA from 1 species